GUCGAGCGAGCGGAACAACAGAUUUACUUCGGUAAUGACGUUGGGAAAGCGAGCGGCGGAUGGGUGAGUAACACGUGGGGAACCUGCCCCUAAGUCUGGGAUACCAUUUGGAAACAGGUGCUAAUACCGGAUAAGAAAGCAGAUCGCAUGAUCAGCUUUUAAAAGGCGGCGUAAGCUGUCGCUAAGGGAUGGCCCCGCGGUGCAUUAGCUAGUUGGUAAGGUAACGGCUUACCAAGGCAACGAUGCAUAGCCGAGUUGAGAGACUGAUCGGCCACAUUGGGACUGAGACACGGCCCAAACUCCUACGGGAGGCAGCAGUAGGGAAUCUUCCACAAUGGACGCAAGUCUGAUGGAGCAACGCCGCGUGAGUGAAGAAGGUUUUCGGAUCGUAAAGCUCUGUUGUUGGUGAAGAAGGAUAGAGGUAGUAACUGGCCUUUAUUUGACGGUAAUCAACCAGAAAGUCACGGCUAACUACGUGCCAGCAGCCGCGGUAAUACGUAGGUGGCAAGCGUUGUCCGGAUUUAUUGGGCGUAAAGCGAGCGCAGGCGGAAAAAUAAGUCUGAUGUGAAAGCCCUCGGCUUAACCGAGGAACUGCAUCGGAAACUGUUUUUCUUGAGUGCAGAAGAGGAGAGUGGAACUCCAUGUGUAGCGGUGGA
rnacentral:rRNA from 1 species